rnacentral:rRNA from 1 species
UUGACAUGCUGUAGAACUUUCCAGAGAUGGAUUGGUGCCUUCGGGAACUCAGACACAGGUGCUGCAUGGCUGUCGUCAGCUCGUGUCGAGAGAUGUUGGGUUUAAGUCCCGUAACGAGCGCAACCCUUAUCCUUAGUUACCAGCACGUAAUGGUGGGCACUCUAAGGAGACUGCCGGUGACAAACCGGAGGAAGGUGGGGAUGACGUCAAGUCAUCAUGGCCCUUACGGCCAGGGCUACACACGUGCUACAAUGGUCGGUACAAAGGGUUGCCAAGCCGCGAGGUGGAGCUAAUCCCAUAAAACCGAUCGUAGUCCGGAUCGCAGUCUGCAACUCGACUGCGUGAAGUCGGAAUCGCUAGUAAUCGUGAAUCAGAAUGUCACGGUGAAUACGUUCCCGGGCCUUGUACACACCGCCCGUCACACCAUGGGAGUGGGUUGCUCCAGAAGUAGCUAGUCUAACCUUCGGGGGGACGGUUACCACGGAGUGAUUCAUGACUGGGGUGAAGUCGUAACAAGGUAGGCGUAGAUGA